GACGAACGCUGGCGGCGUGCUUAACACAGGCAAGUCGAGCGAGGCCCACUCUUUGGGGUGGUGCCCUAGCGGCGAACGGGUGAGUAACACGUGGGCAACCUGCCCUCAGCUCUGGGAUAACUCCAAGAAAUUGGUGCUAAUACCGGAUGUGACCGCUGACCGCAUGGUCUGGUGGUGGAAAGAUUUAUCGGCUGAGGAUGGGCCCGCGGCCUAUCAGCUUGUUGGUGGGGCACGGCCCACCAAGGCGACGACGGGUAGCCGGCCUGAGAGGGUGACCGGCCACACUGGGACUGAGACACGGCCCAGACUCCUACGGGAGGCAGCGGUGGGGAAUAUUGCGCAAUGGGCGAAAGCCUGACGCAGCGACGCCGCGUGAGGGAUGACGGCCU
rnacentral:rRNA from 1 species